GUUUUUGUAUCCAUUAUUUUCUGAGACAUUUUUUAUCAUGUCAAUUAGUUUGUAUCAGGACACCUAUAAAGAGUUGUUUUUUCCUGAGAUCAAUUCAACAUGAUUUAUACGGUCUUAAGUAGCGUUAUUGAAAUCAAUGCGUCGCUGUACUACAUCAAAAAAGUAUACUUACCCCAAAUGGAUACAAAUAAAUGCCCGAAACGUUUCCGCCUCCCAGAGAAACAGCCUUGCAGACCUGUGAUAUGGAUACAGAGCAGGUAGCUCACCUCUCUGGUAAUUGAGUUCACAGCUGGUAGUUUUGCCUCAGUAGACUUCUCACCCAGGAGGGAACAAAGGCCAUCCUCUUCCCCAGCAGGUCAGAGAGACUCAUCAAUAGCACAGACUUAAAUAGAUGUCGCAAUUACGUGCCACAGGUCCAACGGGCUAAUUAUUGUCGGGGGCCGCAAGCUCUUUAGUGAUGGCAGCCCACACUGUUCAUUUAUCCUGCUGCAUCCUCCUCAGCAGAGGAGGAACGGCUAUGCUGCAAUGUUUCUGCAAUGUUCAUUUAACGCAGAGCAUCAUCUCAUUGAGAACCUUCAAUGCUUGUUUCCUCCAUGACAGUAAUAUUGUUUGCAGAUGUGGGCUGUUAAUGAUUCUGCCUGGUGUGAAAUAUUUCAUGAAUACGAUCGUACUAAAUUAGCUGGGAAUGCCAAUUAAAAAAUUGAUGCUUUUAGUAAUUACAAAAUAGUUUGCAAUUUGGAGAAUUUGUCAUUAAAAGAAAUCUCCCUGAGGCAGAUUACUUCCUUGGCAUGAGUCAGGCUGAGGAACAUGUUUCUGUGGAGGAGUCUGACUAUUUGCGUCAAACGCCCAGAUCUGUGAUAGCAGACUCCUUCAUGCAGGUCUGACUGACAAGAAUGAUGAUGUGAGGGGAUUGCUGGAGAGGAUGUCGGUGGGAGAGCAGGAGGGCACAACUCAGGAAGCUAGAAGAAAAACUUGAAGAACAGCAACACAGCAAUAAUAUGAAAUGUUAUUACUGGCAGUGUUGGAGAAAGUUACUUUUAAAAGUAAUCCAUUACAAUAUUACGUUACUCAAUAAAAAAGUAACUAAUUGCAUUACCUUUUCUCACCUGUUCUAUUUUUGGCAAAUUUAAAGGGCGCUUCACACUAAGGGUGCGUUCCACUUUGCUUUUAGACAUACACUCGUGAACUUCCCCUCGGGGGAAUCCGUGCCACCAUUUUGAAGUGCGUUCCACUUUGUCAAGUGGGCGAGGGAAGUUUAUGUGGAUAGGUCCUCAUCCCCUCGAUUUUAACAGAGGGAGCGAGUCUACUCCGAUGUACACUUCAAGCAGCUCUAUAUCCACAAUUCAACAUGAUUGUGACAUCACAGCAGAUCGCGCUUAACUGUAGUGUAUAAUAUAUUCAUUAUUUUGAUAAUUAAUCGCAUAAUAGUGUAUAAUAUGUUGUUGAGAUUUA